AUGGCUCAAUCGUUCAAUGCUUUGAAACUCUGUCCUAUUCUCCCUCAGCUUCGACUCAAACUCAACGGAAAAAAAGAAAUUGCGAAUGAGAUGAAACACGCUGUUUUGGAGCAAUUUGAAAGCAUGGACAAUUCAAAGCUGAGAAUUUUGAUGAGACAAGGAUACAAUACGCUUCGAGCUUUGGUCGUGAAGGAUGAAGAUUUAAUCAAGAGGGUGAAAGCCAGGGGCAUGAAAACUAUGGAGUUUAUCAUGGAAGGAACAUGA